rnacentral:lncRNA from 1 species
GUCUGGGGGGGGGGGGCUUGACAGAGCUCUCCCACCCCAGCCCGGCCCCUGUCCCAGCCUCGCCUUGGUCUGGGAACUGCUCAGCCAGUGUGACCAGACAGACCCCACCUGGACGCCAGGCCCUGCCCAUGUCUGAGCCACCGUCUUGUUUCUGUCUCAGUCCCAGACUCAGCAGCAACCUCGGGCCCAGGCACUGCCUCCCAGGGGAACCACUCAGUCCCUCCACACAGUUUUCUUCUCCAAAUAUUGUCCCCUUUGUCCUUCUAUCCAUCUCUGAAAGUGCAUGAGGAAGACCCGACGCCCCCAAAUGUCCUCACCCUCACAUCAGGGACGUCUGGGGGAGCAGCGGGGCUCUGGCAGACUGCUUAUUCCGGGAAUGAAAGUUUGGAGGUCCAGCAGUGGGCACCAAGGGUGUGGGUUGUCCUGGGGAUCAAUCAGGGUGCUUUCUUGCAAGUGACAGAAACGGACCGGCUGAGUAAAGAAGAGGGAU